GUGUCAUUUUCAAAGCAGCACAUAUACUAAAAUUGGAACAAUACGGAGAAGAUUAAAAUGGCCUCUGCACAAAGCUAGUAUGUGGUCCAGUCCAAUUCAGGACAUUGUG